rnacentral:sRNA from 1 species
CUGCCAUGCAAGAUGUGACUUUGCUUCUCCUUCCCCUUCUGCCAUGAUUUGUGAUGCCUCCUCAGCCAUGUGGAACUGAGUCAUGGCCGGCUUCAACAUGGGGGGCGACCUCAGGGAGCCUGCCGCCAGCAUUCCCCUGGGCUCCCUGGCAGCUGUUGGCAUCUCGUGGUUUCUGUACAUUGUCUUCGUCUUCCUCCUGGGCGCCAUCUGCACUCGAGAGGCCCUUCGCUAUGACUUCCUGAUAGCGGAAAAGGUAUCCCUCGUGGGCUUCCUGUUCCUUUUGGGCUUAUACAUCUCAUCCCUGGCUUCCUGUAUGGGAGGACUUUAUGGAGCUCCCCGCAUCCUGCAGUGCAUUGCCCAGGAGAAAGUGAUCCCUGCACUUGCCUGUCUGGGACAAGGGAUCUCUGACAGGUUGCCUGCUGCCUCCUGGGAGGGGCAGGAGUCCUGCUGGAACAAGCAGACUUCCAGGAGCGAAGGGACUCAGCCUGAGGGAACAUAUGGAGAGCAACUUGUUCCUGAGCUGUGCAACCAAUCAGAGUCCAGUGGAGAAGAUUUCUUCCUGAAGUCCAGGCUCCAAGAACAAGAUGUCCAGAGAAGAUCCACUUCUUUCUAUACCCACAUGUGCAACCCCUGGGUCUCCCUGUUGGGGGCUGUUGGGUCCCUUCUCAUCAUGUUUGUGAUACAGUGGGUGUAUACCCUGGUUAACAUGGGUGUUGCUGCCAUCGUGUAUUUCUACAUUGGCCGGGCCAGUCCAGGACUUCACCUUGGAUCAGCCUCCAACUUCAGCUUUUUCCGGUGGAUGAGGUCUCUCUUGCUCCCCUCCUGCAGGAGCUUGCGGUCCCCUCAGGAGCAGAUCAUCUUGGCGCCGUCCCUGGCUAAGGUUGACAUGGAGAUGACUCAGCUCACCCAGGAGAAUGCAGACUUCGCCACUCGGGAUCGCUACCACCACUCCUCCCUCAUGAGCCCGGAGCAGCUGAUGCCUCACUACUAGAUGCAGUGCUGGGACCUUCCUCUUUUGGAGCUGUCCCAUGCACAGUGGACCCAAACCCAGAACCUUCGUGGGGCUGCUU